AUGGGGCUGCUCGGGCUCAUCUCCAAGAGCCCCUCGCCGCCGCGCGGCCUGCUGCCGCCGACACUCGUGCCCGCCGACGGGGGUGGCCGAGCGGGUGAGAUCCCGCCGAUCCGGUGGCGGAAGGGCGAGAUGAUCGGCUCCGGUGCGUUCGGGCAGGUCUACCUCGGGAUGAACCUGGACACCGGCGAGCUCCUCGCCAUAAAGCAGGUUUUGAUUGGGAGCACCAACGCGACCUGGGAGAAGUCCCAAGCGCAUAUAAGAGAACUUGAGGAAGAAGUGAAGCUCCUCAAGAACCAUUCGCACCCCAAUAUUGUGAGGUACCUCGGGACUAUCCGCGAGGAAGACACACUGAAUAUCCUGCUGGAGUUUGUUCCUGGAGGGUCUAUCCAGUCGCUUCUUGGAAAACUCGGUUCAUUCCCGAAGGCAGUCAUUAGGAAGUAUACUAGGUAGAUUUUGCAAGGGUUGGAAUAUCUGCAUGGCAAUGCAAUAAUACAUAGAGACAUUAAGGGUGCAAACAUUCUUGUUGAUAACAAAGGCUGCAUUAAGUUGCCAAGUUGGUAA
rnacentral:rRNA from 1 species